UACGGAGGGUGCGAGCGUUGUCCGGAAUCACUGGGCGUAAAGGGCGCGUAGGCGGCUUGGCAAGUGGAUGGUGAAAUCCCUCGGCUUAACCGAGGAACUGCCGUCCAAACUGCUUCGCUUGAGACCGGGAGAGGUGAGUGGAAUUCCCAGUGUAGCGGUGAAAUGCGUAGAUAUUGGGAGGAACACCAGUGGCGAAGGCGGCUCACUGGACCGGUACUGACGCUGAGGCGCGAAAGCUAGGGUAGCAAACGGG
rnacentral:rRNA from 1 species